GAAUCUUGGAUACAACCGAUUACGCAACAUUUCCAAGGCGACGUUCAGGGGCUUGACAAAACUACUCAGUUUGUAUUUAUUCAACAACGAACUCGAAUCCAUAGACGACGGUGUAUUUGAAGGAGUGCCGAAUCUGACCAAUCUGAACCUUCAAGGCAACCGAUUACGCAACAUUUCACUGGCGACGUUCAGGGGCUUGACAAAACUAAUCUAUCUG